UGAAGUUGCUGAUGCCAUACUUCCAGGAAAAGCCUCUAAGCUUCAGAUUAUAUGGAAUCGUACCCCAAACCGACACAGGUGGUCAGGUAGAGAAUACUAAGGCGCUUGAGAGAACUCGGGUGAAGGAACUAGGCAAAAUCGUACCGUAACUUCGGGAGAAGGUACGCUCCUAUCUGUGAUGAGACUUGCUCUCUAAGCGGACGGGAGCCGCAGUGACCAGGUGGCUGGGACUGUUUAUUAAAAACACAGCACUGUGCAAAAUCGCAAGAUGACGUAUACGGUGUGACACCUGCCCGGUGCCGGAAGGUUAAUUGAUGGGGUUAUCUUCGGAGAAGCUCUUGAUCGAAGCCCCGGUAAACGGCGGCCGUAACUAUAACGGUCCUAAGGUAGCGAAAUUCCUUGUCGGGUAAGUUCCGACCUGCACGAAUGGUGUAACCAUGGCCACGCUGUCUCCACCCGAGACUCAGUGAAAUUGAAAUCGCAGUGAAGAUGCUGUGUACCCGCGGCUAGACGGAAAGACCCCGUGAACCUUUACUACAGCUUGGCACUGAACAUUGAACCUACAUGUGUAGGAUAGGUGGGAGACUUAGAAGCAGCGACGCUAGUUGUUGUGGAGUCGUCCUUGAAAUACCACCCUUGUAGUUUUGAUGUUCUAACGUUGGCCCCUGAAUCGGGGUUACGGACAGUGCCUGGUGGGUAGUUUGACUGGGGCGGUCUCCUCCCAAAGAGUAACGGAGGAGCACGAAGGUUGGCUAAGUACGGUCGGACAUCGUACGGUUAGUGUAAUGGUAGAAGCCAGCUUAACUGCGAGACAGACACGUCGAGCAGGUACGAAAGUAGGUCAUAGUGAUCCGGUGGUUCUGAAUGGAAGGGCCAUCGCUCAACGGAUAAAAGGUACUCCGGGGAUAACAGGCUGAUACCGCCCAAGAGUUCAUAUCGACGGCGGUGUUUGGCACCUCGAUGUCGGCUCAUCACAUCCUGGGGCUGAAGUCGGUCCCAAGGGUAUGGCUGUUCGCCAUUUAAAGUGGUACGCGAGCUGGGUUUAGAACGUCGUGAGACAGUUCGGUCCCUAUCUGCCGUGGGCGUUUGAGAAUUGAGAGGGGUUGCUCCUAGUACGAGAGGACCGGAGUGAACGAACCGCUGGUGUUCGGGUUGUCAUGCCAAUGGCAUUGCCCGGUAGCUACGUUCGGAACUGAUAAGCGCUGAAAGCAUCUAAGCGCGAAGCAGGCCUCGAGAUGAGUUCUCACUAGAGCUAUAAGCUCUCUGAAGGGCCGUUGGAGACUACAACGUUGAUAGGCAAGGUGUGGAAGCAUAGUGAUAUGUUAAGCUAACUUGUACUAAUUACCCGUGAGGCUUAACCAUACAACGCCAAACGCGUUU
rnacentral:rRNA from 1 species